CAAUAGCGUAUAUUAAAGUUGUUGCAGUUAAAAAGCUCGUAGUUGGAUUUGUGGCGUACGGUGUGUUCCGGGCACUUGUUGUCUGAGUAACCUGCUGUUGCCAUCCUUGGGUGGAACCUGUGUGGCAUUAGGUUGUCGUGCAGGGGAUGCCCAUCAUUUACUGUGAAAAAAUUAGAGUGUUCAAAGCAGGCUUAUGCCGUUGAAUAUAUUAGCAUGGAAUAAUGAGAUAGGACUUUUUUGCUAUUUUGUUGGUUUGCGCAAAGAGGUAAUGAUUAAUAGGGACAGUUGGGGAUAUUCGUAUUCCAUUGUCAGGGGUGAAAUUCUUGGAUUUUUGGAAGACGAACUACUGCGAAAGCAUUUACCAAGGAUGUUUUCAUUAA
rnacentral:rRNA from 1 species